ACAGGAAAAACCUCCCUCAGCAAUAGCAUUACGGACCUGAAUCUUAAUAUUGCCAACAUCGAUAUAACGGCCUUCAAGCCCUGCUGAUUCUUUUUGUGCAAAGGGUUUGAACCUCCACAUAGUUGGUAUAAAGAAGACAAGAAAAGCACUUUUAGAAUCUGAUUGAUUGGGGAAGCCAAAAAAGGAGAGAUAAACUCAAAGUAUAAGCUAAUUAGAAUGAAGA
rnacentral:misc_RNA from 1 species